CCUCAAAAUGCCCCGGGGAAUUUUUUGGACAACGCAUAUUUCUGGGCUCCAUCCUGGUGAGUUCAAGCUGACAGGUACGGGGAAGAGCCCAGGAAUCUUCACUUUUGAAAGCCUCCCAGCCACUUCGGAAGUCCAGAUGUGGAAACCGAGACCAGAGACGUCAGAGAGUUCCCUCCAGCAGCACACUGCCAGAUACAGAUGGUGCUGGGGUCGGAUACAGGAAUUCAACUGCUCUUGCUGCCACCCAGUCUAUGCAGUGAGUCCCCAGUAAAUGGCCCUCUGUGAUCCUGGAUCUAUCUGAAUCUUCC